rnacentral:ncRNA from 1 species
CCGCCGGGACGACCCGGCCUCAAGGGGGUUGAACUGCACCGGGACGACCCGA